rnacentral:rRNA from 1 species
AGAGUUUGAUCCUGGCUCAGGAUGAACGCUAGCGGCAGGCUUAAUACAUGCAAGUCGAGGGGCAGCAAGGUUAGCAAUAACUGUUGGCGACCGGCGCACGGGUGCGUAACGCGUAUGCAAUCUACCUUUAACAGAGAGAUAGCCCCGAGAAAUCGGGAUUAAUAUCACAUAAAAUUCAUUUGUGGCAUCAUAGAUGAAUCAAAGCUGAGGCGGUUAAAGAUGAGCAUGCGUGACAUUAGCUAGUUGGUGAGGUAACGGCUCACCAAGGCGACGAUGUCUAGGGGUUCUGAGAGGAUGAUCCCCCACACUGGUACUGAGACACGGACCAGACUCCUACGGGAGGCAGCAGUAAGGAAUAUUGGUCAAUGGGCGCGAGCCUGAACCAGCCAUGCCGCGUGCAGGAAGACGGCCUUAUGGGUUGUAAACUGCUUUUGUCGGGGAAUAAACCUGUCUACGUGUAGACAGCUGAAGGUACCCGAAGAAUAAGCAUCGGCUAACUCCGUGCCAGCAGCCGCGGUAAUACGGAGGAUGCAAGCGUUAUCCGGAUUCAUUGGGUUUAAAGGGUGCGCAGGCGGAAUGAUAAGUCAGUGGUGAAAUUCAACGGCUCAACUGUUGACCUGCCAUUGAUACUGUCAAUCUAGAGUAUAGUUGAAGUGGGCGGAAUGUGUCAUGUAGCGGUGAAAUGCUUAGAUAUGACACAGAACACCGAUCGCGAAGGCAGCUCGCUAAGCUAAAACUGACGCUCAUGCACGAAAGCGUGGGGAUCAAACAGGAUUAGAUACCCUGGUAGUCCACGCCGUAAACGAUGAUUACUCGAUGUUGGCGAUACACAGUCAGCGUCUGAACGAAAGUAUUAAGUAAUCCACCUGGGGAGUACGUUCGCAAGGAUGAAACUCAAAGGAAUUGACGGGGGCCCGCACAAGCGGAGGAGCAUGUGGUUUAAUUCGAUGAUACGCGAGGAACCUUACCUAGACUUAAAUGUAGAUUGACCGGAGGGGAAACCUUUUUUUCAGCAAUGACAAUUUACAAGGUGCUGCAUGGUUGUCGUCAGCUCGUGCCGUGAGGUGUCAGGUUAAGUCCUAUAACGAGCGCAACCCCUAUUCUUAGUUGCCAGCAUGUCAUGAUGGGGACUCUAAGGAAACUGCCUACGCAAGUAGAGAGGAAGGUGGGGAUGACGUCAAAUCAGCACGGCCCUUACGUCUAGGGCUACACACGUGCUACAAUGGUAGGUACAGAGGGCAGCUACACGGUGACGUGAUGCCAAUCUCCAAAGCCUAUCUCAGUUCGGAUCGAAGUCUGCAACCCGACUUCGUGAAGUUGGAUUCGCUAGUAAUCGCAUAUCAGCCAUGAUGCGGUGAAUACGUUCCCGGGCCUUGUACACACCGCCCGUCAAGCCAUGGAAGUUUGGGGUACCUGAAGUCCGUAACCGCAAGGAGCGGCCUAGGGUAAAACGAAUAACUAGGGCUAAGUCGGAACAAGGUA